rnacentral:rRNA from 1 species
ACGAACGCUGGCGGCGUGCCUCAUACAUGCAAGUAGAACGCUGAAGGAGGAGCUUGCUUCUCUGGAUGAGUUGCGAACGGGUGAGUAACGCGUAGGUAACCUGCCUGGUAGCGGGGGAUAACUAUUGGAAACGAUAGCUAAUACCGCAUAAGAGUAGAUGUUUCAUGACAUUUGCUUAAAAGGUGCAAUUGCAUCACUACCAGAUGGACCUGCGUUGUAUUAGCUAGUUGGUGAGGUAACGGCUCACCAAGGCGACGAUACAUAGCCGACCUGAGAGGGUGAUCGGCCACACUGGGACUGAGACACGGCCCAGACUCCUACGGGAGGCAGCAGUAGGGAAUCUUCGGCAAUGGACGGAAGUCUGACCGAGCAACGCCGCGUGAGUGAAGAAGGUUUUCGGAUCGUAAAGCUCUGUUGUAAGAGAAGAACGAGUGUGAGAGUGGAAAGUUCACACUGUGACGGUAUCUUACCAGAAAGGGACGGCUAACUACGUG